AGAAGCAGCGGCGGCGCGGGCGGAGCCGGCGGGCGAGCGCGCUGCCGAGCGGAAGCACUCGCUCUGCCGGGCGCCGCCUUCCGGAAGCACUACCGGGUGAGUCCCGGGGUUCUGCGGACGUGGUGCGUGACGUGGGGGGCGGGGCGCUGCUCCUGCCUUGCGCGGGAAACCGCAUCCCCCUCAGCACUGCUUGGCGGCGUGCGGUCGGCUGUUCCCGGGCGGGCUGUUGCGUCAGGGCGCCGGGCUCUGCGUCGGCCACACGAGUGUUAAAUGUCACGGAAUCGUUUUCGGUUGGAAAAGUUCCCUAAGAACACCAGGCAUUAAUUAAACUUCACUCUCCUAAGAAGUGCUGAUGAACCAUAGUGAUGCUAACAAUUCAUUUCUUCAGAAACACAUGGAGAUCAGCUGCAGUAAGACUCUAGAAAGCUGCAAAGAACAGGAAGAUAUUCAUAGCUGCUCCUGUGCCAGGAUCUAGCCAUUGUGGAAUCAGGAGAAAAGAGAUUAUUGAGAAAGUUGUGAUCCUUGUCACCUUCUCAUAUACAUCACGUACACUGCUGCAGAGUCACCACUUUGUCUUCUCGACAGCAAGCAUUUGAGAGCCUGUACUCACAAAGAUAUAUUAUGUUGGUUUUCAAGUUAUUUAUUUAUUUUUUAAUAAACGUGUUUAUGCACAAGAAGUUCAGAGGCAUUAGAGUUUGUCUGAAAAUGUCAGUCCUUCUUCCACCUUCCCUUCCGUUCCUUCUUUCCUUCUUUUCUGGAGGUUUUUAUAUUACAGAAAUGAACACUCUGUCACAACAAAGGUGAGGAUAUAUCCAGAGCAGAUAUUAGCUGUGAGCUCUGGCAGCCACUGUCAGACGUUUAUUCUUCACUAACCUUCUCUGCAGGACCUAAUCGCAGGGUUCAGUUUCCUCCUGAAGUACGUCGUAUUUGUACAUUCCUAAGCUCAGACCCACGCAGGCAUGGACCUACUGCUGUUUCUUUAGUACACAAGAGGGAGCUAUUGUUCACAACAAUUUGCCAGUGUUACUUUUUGUUGGAAAUACUGUUCUUUCAGAUUGGCUUUUUCAGUUUAGUGAUAAGAGGACACUGGAAGUUUAAAACAAAAACAUGUAUGUACAUAAGAUAGGCUUAGGUAUAGAUUGCAAUACCCAAGACUUAUGCGUGGAUCAGGCUCCCAGUUCAGCAGUGAAAGCUAUGCUUUAAGUCCUUUUAGGUACCAGGAUUCCAUGUAUAACCUACGGAGUUCUCCAGCAGUGAGGCUCUCUGAGCAGAAAUCUGCAAAAACUCCGUGGAAAAUGAGUAAAAGACUGUCUUCUGAUGUUCAAGAUGAACAUGGCUUGCUCAGAAAUAGAGAUUCCUCUGUCUGAUUAUUAGAAAUUGUCUCUGAUUAAUACUCACAGCUCACAGCCCUCCCAGGUAGUCCUAGGGUGAGGUGGCAGGGACUGUUGCUGUUAAUACAUUUUCUUCCAGACUGAAAGGCUCAGGGUGUGCAAAGGGCCAUUUCAUGCCUCUUCUCUGGCUGAAGCGGACUUUAAUGGACAGUGAGAGGAGGAAAGAUUUGGAUAAGGAUUGAAACACCUCAGAAGGAGACAGAGAACGAAACACUGACUGCACUGAAGUAGAUAAGAACUGCAAAUGCCUAAUAGAUUUUAUGCAAACAAUCUGAAGAAUCUAGGUAUGCUUUCUGCAGUGGUCUUCACAAUGGCUCUUGUUGUUUGUUGUUUUUUUUUUUCAUGUUGCUUUGUUUUGUUGCCCCACCAGUAGUGACUGAAUUUUGAUAAUGCUGUUACACUUACCUAGUGAAAUAAAGAAUUGUUCUUCAGUACGUGCAGUUUACCUGCUCUGAUUUAAGGUGACUAGGAUGUGAUGUAAAACUUAGUAAGAGUUUUAAUAAUAGUCUCUACAACUGUAUGGUCUAAUGAAAGAUUAUCGGUCUCUCUAUAGGAACAGUACCAAUCACAGCACUUUACGCAGUAUUGUGACUGCAUAAGUGACAGACAGGAUUUAGGAGACAAGGCAAAAAGGAUUCAAUGCAUUUUUCUUAUCUGUUAUUUACCAAGUGGUUCUUCCCUAUUCGGAAUGGUCCCAGCUGUUCAUACACUGACUGUUAAUAUGUUCUGAAAAUGAAUAAUAUAUUGGUCUGUUACCAUCUAUCACGCCAUAAUUACUGUUUAUAAGUCAAGGUCAAUUGAACAAACAAAGCUUUUAACACAACUGGCUGUCUAGUAAUUGCUGCUGUUGUAUUUCCUGAGGGAAGCAACCCAAAAUGUCAUGUAAGUAAAUAAGGAUACCCAUCUGGUACAUUAUCUGGCUACCUGAAUGUAGUCUGUUCAUUUAAAAGCUAUCUCGUAACCUUGAGUGAUACACUGAGCACGAAGUAUCUAAUAUUAAAAAGAUGCCAGACAGACAUUGGCAUAUCAAGUAUUACAAGUACUCUAAGCCAAAAGAAAUUUCUGCUUUUCCUCUUAGCCCACACAGUUUUAGUAACUUGAAAAGUAAAAUAAUGAUGUAUUCUGUGAGUCAGCUGGCAUUUUGUUUUGGAGUAUUUCUCAUUUAUUUUGCAUGGUUUCUUGCCCUUAGGAUAUUUAACUGGUACAUUUAGGUGUAUUCCUAAAGGAAACAGAAGCAUCUGGAAAAGCAAUAUGUUAUCACAGCAUUUGAAAAUAGGAGUCCAAGUCUCACAGGUGUGGCAAUUUAUAACAGAUUAAGUCAAGACAAAGAUCAGUCAUUAAAUAGAUCUGAAAAAAAAACAUGUGUAGAAGUGUCACGUGCAGAUUGAGGAAGACAUAUAUAAAAUGUGUUUCUUGAGGUGGAAUAAUAAUGGGGAAAACAAGACUGAUAUGAAAAGCAAGCAUCUUAGGUGGGAUUGAAAAUGGGAAGAAUGCUAUUACUCCAUAGCUGUUGUAAGAUUGUGAUGCUGUUCUGCAGGACAGGAUGCAUGCACAUCAAUGUGUAUUUUGGAGUUUGAGGAAGAAACACAUAAUCUCUUUACAGUUAUAGUUUGGCUAUUUUUUUUUUACUGCAGUUGAAAUGAAGAGUGUGUAACAUGUAUAUUGUAGUGAAAUUCACACUUGUGCAAUAUUAAUAUGAUUCACUGAAACAUUCAAGAAAAAAACACCUGAAUAGUGGAGGGUGGUUAGAGGUGCUUGGAACUUGGGUGACAGGUUACAGCACAGAGCAGCUUUGGAUUUCCUAUGAUGAAAUCACAGGAAAAAUAGUCAGUCAGAGAAUAAGCUAUUAAAUCUUCUUAUUAUGAGCCCACUGUUCAUUUCACUCAUUUACACAGAAAAAAGUGAAGGGUUAAUUAAUUAGCAGUAAAUAGAUAUAAGAAUACAUUAUGCCGCUUUGACUUGUACCACACAAACUCUACACGAAAAAAUAUAAACAUAGAAACGUAGUAAAAGUCUCAUCUACAUCUAAGCACAAAGCAUAACGUGAAGGAAAUCUCAGAAAACAUGCUUGUACAAAAUGGACAAUGAAGAUAGUCUGCCCAGAACAGUCUUUCAGUAAACGAUUCUCUCUAUGAUAAAUUGGCUCAAACUAGAAGCCUCUAAAAAAGAGCCUUACUGCAGGAGCACAGAGAUCUCUCAGUGCAGAUUGCUCAAGACUUUGGACUGGAAUACUGGUGUCAGAACUGAGCUAAUGCCUGCCUGCUUAACAAGAAUUUGUUUCUAGCAGCCUCUGUUCCACAGUAGCAAUGUUCUGCCAGAGGACGAAAGGAAUCCAAGACACUUUCCUUUGUUCCUGUUCUAGCCUUAGUCAUUUGUUUUGGACAAAAUUCAGCUGUCACCCACAUGGAAGACUAACCUAUGAGGAAGUACAGAAACAGCUGGUGCUUGAGCUGUUAUUGCAACCAGUGUAUGCUGCAUUCCUAACCAAGUCCUGCUUUUCUGUUAUAUGGAAAUAUUAAAGCAAAUCCUAUUAUGAAAACUAAUGCAUGAGGUUGAAAGAGGACAUCCAGCAGGAGACUACAAGACAAGAUUUCUGUCAAAGAAAGAGAGCAAGGAUAAUUCCAUACUUCUAAAGGAGUCUGACAAACAUGGUUCUGCAUGAUGCAGGCAUUCUGAAGUAGACAGAGAAUUUUAAAGUGGCUAUGAAAGGGAAGCAAGACCAAGAACACAAAGACACCUUUGAUUCAACAAUGAGGGAGAAAAAGAAAGAUUAAGUCACAACUGGAGAUGACUGAGAAAUUAUCAGAGGUAUGGUCUAAACAGAAGAAGGCUGUAGAGGAAGCCAUUUUGUGGGACAGGUACUACUCUGUGUUCUCCAGCAUCUUGGCGCCAGUAUAUUCAGUUAUUCACUUUUCAGUUUCUUUUUAUAACUUCUUGUUGUUACUCAUUUUCAGUAUAAAAAUAAGAUACACUAAAAAUUCACUGUAGGGUAAAAAUAUGUAACAAUUAGAGCUCUGGAUAUAAAUAAAAGACAGGAUUUUGACCAGA